GAUGAAGCGUCUGAGCGUGCGUGCCUAAUACAUGCAAGUGCGAACGCUUUGUCUUUAAUUGAUCUCGAGCGAGCUUGCUCUGAAGUGAUUUUAUCUGACAAAGAGUGGGCGAACGGGUGAGAUAACACGUGGGUAACCUACCUCUUAGGCAGGGGAUUAACAUUUGGAAACAAGUGCUUAAUACCGGUAUAAAUACCAACAACCGCAUGGUUGUUGGUUGAAAGAUGGUUCUGCUGUCACUAAGAGGAUGGACCCGCCGGUGGCAUUAGCUAGUUGGUAAGGUAACGGCUUACCAAGGCAAUGAUGCAUAGCCGAGUUGAGAGACUGAUCGGCCACAAUGGGACUGAGACACGGCCCAUACUCCUACGGGAGGCAGCAGUAGGGAAUCUUCCACAAUGGGCGCAAGCCUGAUGGAGCAACGCCGCGUGUGUGAUGAAGGGUUUCGGCUCGUAAAACACUGUUAUAAGAGAAGAACGGCGCUGAGAGUAUCUGUUCAGUGUGUGACGGUAUCUUACCAGAAAGGAACGGCUAAAUACGUGCCAGCAGCCGCGGUAAUACGUAUGUUCCAAGCGUUAUCCGGAUUUAUUGGGCGUAAAGCGAGCGCAGACGGUUAUUUAAGUCUGAAGUGAAAGCCCUCAGCUCAACUGAGGAAUGGCUUUGGGAAACUGGAUGACUUGAGUGCAGUAGAGGAAAGUGGAACUCCAUGUGUAGCGGCGAAAUGCGUAGAUAUUAUGGAAGAACACCAGUGGGCGAAGGCGGCUUUCUGGACUGUAAACUGACGUUGAGGCUCGAAAGUGGUGGGGUAGCAAACAGGAUUAAGAUACCCUGGUUAGUCCACACCGUAAACCGAAUGAGAUGCUAGAAUGUUCGAGGGUCUUCCGCCCUUGAAGUGAUCGCAAGCUAACGCAUUAAGCACAUCUCGCGCCUGUGGGGAGAUACGACCGCAAGGUUGCAACUCAAAGGAAUUGACGCAAGGGAGAAUUGUGUCCAACCUGUAAAG
rnacentral:rRNA from 1 species